UACGUAGGGGGUAAGCGUUGUCCGGAAUCAUUGGGCGUAAAGCGCGUGUAGGCGGCUCGGUAAGUCUGCUGUGAAAGUCCAGGGCUCAACCCUGGGAUGCCGGUGGAUACUGUCGAGCUCGAGUCCGGAAGAGGCGAGUGGAAUUCCUGGUGUAGCGGUGAAAUGCGCAGAUAUCAGGAGGAACACCAAUGGCGAAGGCAGCUCGCUGGGACGUGACUGACGCUGAGACGCGAAAGCGUGGGGAGCAAACAGG
rnacentral:rRNA from 1 species